GUGGGGAAUCUUGCGCAAUGGACGAAAGCCUGACGCAGCCAUGCCGCGUGAAUGAUGAAGGUCUUAGGAUUGUAAAAUUCUUUCACCGGGGACGAUAAUGACGGUACCCGGAGAAGAAGCCCCGGCUAACUUCGUGCCAGCAGCCGCGGUAAUACGAAGGGGGCUAGCGUUGCUCGGAAUUACUGGGCGUAAAGGGCGCGUAGGCGGACAGUUUAGUCAGAGGUGAAAGCCCAGGGCUCAACCUUGGAAUUGCCUUUGAUACUGGCUGUCUUGAGUACGGGAGAGGUGAGUGGAACUCCGAGUGUAGAGGUGAAAUUCGUAGAUAUUCGGAAGAACACCAGUGGCGAAGGCGACUCACUGGCCCGUUACUGACGCUGAGGCGCGAAAGCGUGGGGAGCAAACAGGAUUAGAAACCCUAGUAGUCC
rnacentral:rRNA from 1 species